CCAGGCGGUUGGCCCGGUGGAGGUCCAGGCGGUUGGCCCGGUGGAGGUCCUGGAGGAGACGGUCCCGGCUGGGGGGUCCGGCGGUGGAGGUCCGAAGGUGGCUCGUGUUCAGACCAACCAGCUCCUCAUCCAUGGAAGGAUUGAAGGAGUCACUGGGGAUGAAGAUCACUGCUCAGGGGCUGACGACCACUCAUCUUUCCGGAGAAGCGUCCUCAUGGUGCAGGCGGUCAAACCUCCACCUCUUUGAAGAGACCAAGCAGCUUGAUGACUGACUGGUUCUUUAUACUCAAGACCUCGUCCCGGAGCAGAGGACGGACCUAAGGCCCGCAGCGCAGCCGACUAGAGUCUCCAUGUGGAACCGGUUCAAUUAAGUUGACCUCUCCUUCAGGCGACUUAAAGGGAGACCAGAUGUGCGGCAGCUGGGUGUCAUGGUGCAGAGACCCAACGCUGUACUGAACUACACCAGUGUGUCCUACUCCCAUAAACCCUGAGGAUCCCUGGAUGGCUACACCAGCACAUUAAUCCACACCCAACAUCAAUGGAGAGAAAGUAAUUAUUUUCUCCAUUUUAUGUUGCACCACAUUUUGGGGGAAGAAUGUUUGAAUCAAUCUUUGUCAUUUAUUUCUGUACUCCAUAUCUGUAAUCCCAGCUGUUGUAUUUUAACACGGUAGCUGGGAACCCUCUUUAUAGGGAGCGACUAGAGGGACGAGGCUGGAAGCAAACCUGAUCCUGGAUCUUAACCUUCUUUCUAAACCUAAUGCCGCAAUUUAACCGCAAAUAAAGUGAAGCCUAAAGUAACUUGACUCUCUUACCUAAACUUGCUUGCCUAAACUCGCUUGUCUAAACUCGCUUGCAUAAAACCUAAACUCGCUUGCAUAAAACCUGAACUUGCGUGGCUAAACUCGCGUCGCUUGCCUAAUACCUGAACUUGCUUGCCUAAACUCGCUUGCCUAAUACCUGAACUCACUUGCCUAAACUCGCUUGCCUAAACUCGCUUGCCUAAACUCGCUUGCCUAAACUCGCUUGCCUAAACUCGCUUGCCUAAUGCCUAAACUCGCUUGCCUAAAACCUAAACUCGCUUGCAUAAAACCUAAACUCGCUUGCAUAAAACCUAAACUCGCUUGCCUGUACUCGCUUGGCUAAACUCGCUUGCCUAAUACCUGAAGUCGCUUGCCUGAAGUCGCAUGCCUAAUACCUGAAGUCGCUUGCCUAAAACCUAAACUUGCUUGUCCAAACAUGUUACACAAAGUUAACCAUCCAUAAUCUUUAACCCAAACCAGACUUGUCCCUGGGUCGUUCCACUUUAAUUUAGAAGUUUCUUCUUUUACCUCAUCUGCGUUUUGAGUUUCAUUCUUUGAGGGCUUGAAGUGCUUUGGAGGAUAUUUGAACCUUUGUUUGCCGCAUCAAUAAACAUGCUUUAUCUUUACCCAUUUUGUUUUGGAUUGCAUUUCUAUGUGUAAUCCGGCCAAAUGUUCAGUGUCCUUGCAUGUAAUGUCUAUGGUCUGACGAUAAUCUGACCUCUUCAUGAAGCAGAAUGUGUGUGAAUGUUGUCCCGUGAGCUCCAGGCUCUCUGUGGGCCUGUCAACGUCUCUUUAGCAAAAGGUUGGAGAGUGAAAUUCAUUUUUGGGCCAUUUUCAUGUGUUCCUGAGUAUUUCAGACCUGUGGUGUUUCACAUGAGACCUUAAUGGGAACUUUUCUUUUUCUGCCUGCAUACGUAAUGCCUACAUUAGUAGGGUGAUCACUGUUGAUCCCAAUAUUGAUCAUUAACCACCUCAUUCUUUGGGAUUACAAAUCAUGUAAUUUAUGAGCAUAUUUGCAAAUGCCUCCAAAUAUCAGAUUGUGUAAAAACGAAUGAAAUGUAACCUUGAUUUAAAGAAAAUAAAA